AACGAACGCUGGCGGCAGGCUUAACACAUGCAAGUCGAGCGCGUGGCAACACGAGCGGCAGACGGGUGAGUAACACGUGGGAACAUACCCUUUUCUACGGAAUAACGCAGGGAAACUUGUGCUAAUACCGUAUACGCCCUUAGGGGGAAAGAUUUAUCGGAGAAGGAUUGGCCCGCGUUGGAUUAGCUAGUUGGUGGGGUAAAGGCCUACCAAGGCGACGAUCCAUAGCUGGUCUGAGAGGAUGAUCAGCCACAUUGGGACUGAGACACGGCCCAAACUCCUACGGGAGGCAGCAGUGGGGAAUAUUGGACAAUGGGCGCAAGCCUGAUCCAGCCAGGCCGCGUGAGUGAUGAAGGCCUUAGGGUUGUAAAGCUCUUUCACCGGAGAAGAUAAUGACGGUAUCCGGAGAAGAAGCCCCGGCUAACUUCGUGCCAGCCGCCGCGGUAA
rnacentral:rRNA from 1 species